GAUGAACGCUGGCGGCGUGCCUAAUACAUGCAAGUCGAGCGAACGGACGAGAAGCUUGCUUUUCUGAUGUUAGCGGCGGACGGGUGAGUAACACGUGGAUCACCUACCUAUAAGACUGGGAUAACUUCGGGAAACCGGAGCUAAUACCGGAUAAUAUUUUGAACCGCAUGGUUCAAAAGUGAAAGACGGUCUUGCUGUCACUUAUAGCUGGAUCCGCGCUGCAUUAGCUAGUUGGUAAGGUAACGGCUUACCAAGGCAACGAUGCAUAGCCGACCCGAGAGCGUGAUCCGCGACACUGGAGGUGAGACGCGGUACAGACUCCUACGGGAGGCAGCAGUAGGGAAUCGUGCGCAAUGGGCGAAAGCCUGACGGAGCAACGCCGCGUGAGUGAUGAAGGUCUGCGGAUCGUAAAACUCUGUUAUUAUGGAAGAACAUAUGUGUAAGUAACUGUGCAUAUCUUGACGGUACCUAAUCAGAAAGCCACGGCUAACUACGUG
rnacentral:rRNA from 1 species